ACUAAAAGCAGAAUCAAAAUUAGUGUUUUACAAAAUUUGUAUUACAAGCCAAAUAAGAGAAUUACCUUACCAGGUCUGUAAAUCUUGGUAGGGACAGAGCUAUGUGCAUCUACUGCAAGUUAUGUGCAGACCAGCAAACAUUUUCCUACUAGGAACCAUCUCACUCAAUUGAGGUGAUUCCUCAGUUGCCAUGGAGAAGUUGUAAAUUGGAAUGGAAGUCGAAACAGGCCAUACUCAAGUUACCAGGGUCACUGGUCUCAAAGGACUUGGCUGUGUCAUAGCCACUGACAGAUGAAGUGUGCAUAUUUGGUCUCAUGGCU
rfam:Mus musculus chromosome 2, GRC primary reference assembly.